AUAACUAUGAAUGGGGCUACCUGGGAGCCCCGUGUAGCAUCCCUGGCUGUGGGGACAGGCUGACCUUCCCGCACAGUGUCCUCCUGGUGCCGGGCACUGCCCCUCUGCCAAGGACCCCGCAGGCCUGAUCAUCUUCCGAAAGAACGUCUACACACUGCCGAUGACAUUUACUUCACUCAGAAUUUGCAAGUCCAAUGCCGACAUGAAUAUGCACGGCACUGCUGCUUGGAUACGUGGCCUCGGGGCCACGCCUGCGGGUGAUGUGGCAAGUCCACAGACUCCCGUGGUGGCUUCUCACCGAAACACAUUCCAGCACCUGGAGGCUGCCAGCCGGGAACCCCCUUUAGGCGACGUCAGCGCCGUUGGUUCUCAGCCUGAGCCGCCCCCUGUGUUCACUGUGAUCCUCCAGGCCCGGCAGGGAGAGCCCGAGGAAGAGCAAGCGGAGGGCGGGCCCCGGCAGGGAGAGCCCGAGGAAGAGCAAGCGGAGGGUCAGAUCGGGAAGCAGCAUGCCCGGAGCCACGCAGGGACACUGACUUAGAAUUCUACAGUGCAUUGAAGGAACAGAUGAUAGAUACUCUCUACAGUCUCUUCCAGGAAACAGAAGCAGAGGAACACUUUAUAACUCACUCUACGAGGCCGGCAUUACCCCAGUAACAAAACCAAGGAUGUUACAAGAAAGGAAAACGCAGACCAAGAUGUCUCAUGAACACAGAUGCAAAAACCCUCAACAAAACAGCAGCAAAUCCAGCAUCACAUACUAAGAAUCAUACACCACAGGAUUUCCC
rnacentral:antisense_RNA from 1 species